rnacentral:lncRNA from 1 species
AGUGGAACCUGGUGACUCGGAGCCCCGUAGGAGCCUUGCAAUCUCGGGACAGCAGAGGUUUUCUGAGCGUGGCGAGCAGGCGUGCGUCACACCAUCAGGGCCCCCCACUGGGCGGUCACUCUGCACAGUGACCUCCCCUCCUCACCCAGAGGCGGGACGUGAGGCCAUGGAGGGAGACGCCAGGCUCUGAAGGCAGGGGAGGCUCUGGCAGGCCGUCCUUCCACGCCGGGAGGCAGGACAGGGUAGUGAUGAUAAGUACGGUUCCCAGGCCGUACACCUCAAUUUCCACCACGUCACGUCCACUCUAUCUCACGGAAGCCGGUAAGCAGACUGUGGGCUCCCGAGGCCAGCGCCCAGGCUGGAAUCCCAGCUCCACCGCUAACAGGUGUGUGAGCUCGUGCGUGGGCCUUCAUGCCUCUGGGCAACCUCUCCUGUGAGCAAACUAGGGAUGCUGGUGUUGUCUACCCCGGAGCCGUGGCCUGCGGAUGUAACGGCGAAACGCCUGUGUACACGGGGGCUGCACCUGACCUAUUUAUUAGAAGGCUUCCAUCAAGUGAGCUGCUAUGGGGACUGCUUCUCUAGUAUUUUGCUCUGAAACCACCUGGGCAGAUGGACUGAUAAUGAGUCUUUUGAGCGUCUUGGAGGUAGCAGCGACAAUUCUCCCCGUGUUCCUGGUGAGGACGUGGAACCUUAGCAGGUUAGAGAGCAUCACACUGGCUGCCCAGGGACAAAGCUCAGUUGGGAGGUCGGCCCCACAUCUCCCAGCCUGGCAGGGAGGAAGGACUCGCCAGCCUGAGCCGCACAGAGCGUCUAGUUCAGGGCCACAAAAAACGUGCGGGACGAGGACGAGGCCUCUGGGGUCAGAAUUAAAGGCGGCGCCGCGGAGGCAGGACCCCACCGGCCCCAUCAGACCACGCCGGCCAGCACGGCUCCUCGGUGGUGGGAGGCACAGGCCCCUCCCGAUCCAAGCAAGCAAGACACCUGGGGGGUGGGGAGAGCACGCCCUGCGGAUUCAUGGGUCGCAGCUGCGCGCCCCCAGCCAGGCGGGGCUCAGGCUCCCGCUGAGUGCGGUUUAGACGCCUGGCCGAGCUGUCGUCGCUCAGAACGCCUGCCCAAGCCCGCGCUCAGACCGGGCCUCUCUCCAGCCCGACGUCUGGAACAGGCCGCCUGUCCCUCUGCAGGAGGCGCGUGGAGCAGAGCAGGACUGACUGCCGAGUGGGAGGAAGACAGGCUUGCAUCCCAAGGACAGUGUGAGGGCCUGUGGGUAAGAGCAUCACUCGCAUCUCAGAGUUGUGCCAAGAGGGGACAGACGCCCUCCAGAGGUGGCCGGUCCCUGCCUCGGGUAGGCAGUCAGAGGUGAGUCUGGUGGGCAGGCUGGGCCGGUCCACCACCCUGGGAGGUAUGGGGGAGGGCAGGACCAGCCUUAGGGGGCGUCACAGAGCGUCACAGAGGGUCUGCUCCAUGCUGCCCUUGGCUGGUUCCCAAUGUGGAAGCCGCCACACUUUUAUCUCCGGGUUUUGCUGACUUUCUGGCUGGAGGACUGGGCGCUGCAGCCUCUCUCGCCCUCCAGACACUGCCGACAGGUCUGAGGUGGCCCGGGUGCCAUGUCACCCCGAUCGCUGCUGGGUCAAAGGUCAGAAACGCCAACGCAGUGGGUCUUGGGGCAGCUGUGGGAGCAGAACUGGGGUGGACCAGCAUCUGGGCCAGGAGGUUCUAGAAGUCUGUGUGGAGGGCUCCUUCCCUUGUGUUGUGCACAGGCUGGAGGCGGGGGGCAUGGUCACUUACCGCCCCCACUGCCGCCCCCACCUCCAUCUCGAGGUGCAGCUCAAGUUCAAACCCCAGAUGUCAAACACGCGCAAAGCCAGCCCCUCCCGGCUGGGUGUCCGCUCUCAGACCCCUUGGUGUCCCCACCCAGCUUCGCCCACAGUCCUGCUGCUUGAGGCUCAGUGUCCACCUGGCAAUGUCUGUAAAAACCUGCUGGGAUGUUCUGGCUCCUUCCUCUGUGCAGAGUGGACGCAGGGGCCAGAUGUAAUUGGAAAGACCUGUGGGGGCCAGCAGACCUCCCUCCCCUGGCGGUGGGUACCCAGGGCCAGACACGAUUCCGAAAAACCCCGGUUCUCCUGCCCCUCGUUCAGCAAGCACCCUGCGCCGGGCGGGUGCUGGGAUUACAGGCGGCGACACCCGGGGCCCGGCCCCAGCCUCGGGGCGGCUGCAGUGCGAGGGUCUCCACGAGCACAUUAAGACGUCACUUGACUCGGGGGGCGAGUGGAUCUCAGAAGUAAAAGCAGAGGUGCUUUGGGUCGCAUUGUCAGCCUCCCCCAUGGAAACAAACCCAGAAAGGGAAUGAGUCUUGGGUCCAGGAAAAAUGGAUACAGCUUUCACGAAGGCCCUGCAUGAGCGGAGCCCUGAAAGGAUUUUUGGUCUUAGCUCCAGCGCCGUCUGCACAGUCUGCGUCCUUUUCACUGGGAGCGAGGGGCAGAGGGAAGGCCGGGGAGCCCCGUCGCCCACCCAGGCUGCUCUGUGCCACCGCCCCCUCCUCCUCCUCCCUCCUUCGGUCCCCGCCUGCAGGUGUCUUCUCAGGAAGGGGGUUGUUAAGACUGGGGGGUGGGGGGUGUUAACAAGGGUUGGAAGGUUUGAGUGAUUUUUUGCAAAGUUAGAUGGCGAAGGUUGUCCUCUCCUGCAGUGAUCUCACAAGGGAGGGGAGUUAGAGACGUUGGACCAGAAACAAGAGAACGGCGGGGUCUGUGUUGAGUGAUUGGCUGGAGACUUAAGUUCAGUGCAAACCAAAAGCCCAUCUUUGAAAUCGUGGUUGGUUCUGUUGAGUCUCCGGUGGAUGCGGUCGGGGUUCUGCCAGCCUUGGACUCCGUUUUGCUCCUAUACGGGGCAGCGACCCCGCCCCACGGCAUCCCCACCACCCUGAGCAGAGCCCCCGGGUUUGCCUCGGGUGGGCAGCUGCCUUGCUUUGGGACUUCUUCCUCUGUGGCCGGGCAGAGCCCCCCUCGCAGAAUGGCCUCGCCAUCACAGGCAGUCAGGUAAAUCGAUGAAGUGUUUCUAGAACGUCAAGGGACAUGUUGUAGGCUGGCCUGGGCGCUUGUCGUAUUUGUUUCCGUGAAGCAGGGUGUUCACAUAAGACAGUCCCCCGUCUCGGGUCACCGUUUCCUUGUUAUUAGAAGUGUCAUUUGGUUUAGCGAGUCUCCGCCAUUGGGCCACCUGCUUGGAGCCACGCGGAGCGGAUGCGGGGCUGCCUUCCAGGUGUGACUUCUGGGCUCCAGGUGUGGGCUUUGAUGUCUUCCAGCCCUGCAGGUAAUAGGGCUUGAUCGGUGCCGUAUUGGUUGGACACUGGGCCCUUCCGUCUGUUCUGAGCGCUUUGGCCGGUCUUCUUUUGGGGGAGGCCCCCGAAAAUGGUGGGCGGGCUUGGAAAUCCCGACAAGCAGGACCUGGUACCCCCCACCCCCAUUUCCCACCCAAGCUCUCUCUUCCUCUCCCCUCCUCUGAGCCUCCAGCCUCUCCCUGUGCUGCGCUUACCCCAUUUUCAGUUGGCCUUUAAAUAGAACUAAAUCCUAUUUUUGCUGUAUCCGCUCUGCAGCUUUUUUUAAAGAAGCAGGGGAUCCCUCGGACUCCCCGAAAGAAGAAGGACAAAAACCGAACGAUUAGACGCUUUGAAGGUAGCCUCUGAGAGAUUUUUGUCACCCCUACGGCUCAAUUAAUUCCAGUUUUUCAAAUCACCCAUGCGUGUUCUGCACAGCGUAGGUUCCCAGAGGCUCAUAAGCAAAAUCCCGUGCUCCCUGCGUGGCCCAGUCUGGCCCUUUGCACAAGUCCCCUACAGGUCUGUGCAACGAUAAGUGCCGGAAAGGCCUGCAGUGAACGCUUUACACAUGGAAAACCACGGCAUCGAACUUCCCGUUUGUUUCCGUGUUUCGGAGAAAAGAACGGAACAGAAGAGAAGCCGCCUCGGGGUGUCUUUAGCAAGUUCCCGCUCGCCCUGGAAAAGCGUGGCCGCACAAUCCAAGCCCUUACACAGCUUUGGAAACUAGCCGGCACCACAGAUGUAAAAACGAAUGCGGUCGUACUUAUUAACCCAGGACUCGCGAAACGGUCACCGUCACCUCCCCUUCCCUCCCAGAGCAGAGUUGCGGCUUCCUUCCUGUUUGGGGCUUGGGCGUCUCUCCCAACCCGUUUCCAGAUGCACUUCCUCCCUCUGCUCCCUGCGAACUGGGCUCUGGUCCUUCAGGGCCAGAAUGUGUGUGGAUGUUUGUCUGGGGUGUUAGCUUUUGCGUUUAGGGUGUUUUUGGCUUCCUCGGUGCCCAGCAGAGAACCUGCAAUAGAAUAACUGGUGAAAAAAGAAAGAAAAAAGGAUGGAUGGAAGGAAGGGUGGGGGGGGAGUGGGCUAAGGGCCGAGAGAAGGUUCCUGUUUCUUGUCUUAUCCAGUGUCUGAUCCAAAGCAGAAGGAGUGGCAGGAUUCAGUCAACACCAAGAAGCAAUGGAGUUUUCUCCACUGAUCGGGCAGGAAGCAGGAGCUAAACUGCUUUACACCAGCUCCGACUUCAGUGGCCCGUUCUCGUCUCUGAGGUCUGUGGUUCACGAGAACUGCUGUCCUGGAGACCAGCUGCUGGGGGGUAAAAUUCCAUUUGAAGAAGGAAAUGCCUGUAGCAGAAACUCAUCAGGACUCUCCUCCCUUUAUUCGUGGUUUGGAGACAUCAGGCUUUUAGGAGGCGCUCUGUUUAGUCGGGACCAACUUAAGACAUGUUUGCAUUCAAACUGCCAGAGAUCGCAGGACUUUGACGCCUACCUAACGGGUUUAGCUGUCAGCGCCAUGUGGUACCCACACUGAGAAAAGAGAAAAAGCAAAGCCGCCAGGCUCUGGAAGUCUUUACGCACCAGGCUGCCCAAGGGACGUGGGAUGGCACAGCUGCUCACAGUGUGAGCUGGUGGGCUUUGUGAUGGGAGCCAGGCUCAGGCUCGUUUUCCUGAAUAAGGAAACUCUAACACUUAACGUGAAGGGUGCUGCCCCUGGAAAGAAAGUGUGAGCAGUGGUUCCGACAAAGCAACCCAGGGAGGAAGCGGGUAGCAGAGGCAUCCUUCGAGUCCCAGAGGACUUGUUAAAAAUUAAACUUGGGCGUAUUAAAAGCUAUAAGAGUUUAUUUCAGGAAAUCCAUUCAAACCAGGCAGCAUUCAGUCUGGCAGGUAGAAAGGUGGUCUGAGGAGUUCCCACUGUGGCAAGGUGGCUUGAGAAUUCAACUGCAGCAGCUCGGGUCGCUGCGGAGGUUCAGGUUUGAUCCCUGGCCUGGGGUAGUGGGUUAAAGGAUUGGGUGUGGCUGCAGCUGCCACUCAAAUUCAAUCACUGGCCCCAAGAACUUCCAUAUGCAGUGAGUCCAGCAGAAAAAUGGAAGGAAGGAAGCAAGGAAAAGUCCAAAACGAUGUCCCAAAUGAGAGACGUUUAUGGGCGACAGGAAGCCGGGUCCAGAAAGUUAUUCUAGACAAAAUGUAGGUUGGUAAUUGCAAGGUCACUUUCCUUUAGGGAGUGUGGGGUCUGUCAGGCAGGUUGCAUAACUGGUGCUCAUCGGCUGCUUCCACGUGGGGAGUGCUUCCGCAGUAAUGAAGUCUGUUUGGUGACACGGGGCUUAGCUUAAGUGACUAUAAUGGGGGCCUGUGGUCUUGCUUUGAACAAAUUCCAGCCUUGUACAGACUCAUCUAGACGCAUCCGCAGGUCACCCCAUGUAGCAUCUCUGUGCAGGGCUGCUGGGGCAGGGGGAGACUCUGCCUCCUUCGCUGGAGACAGGGACACGGAGGGAGGGUGAGCAGGAGACGGAGACACUGCUGGGAGACCUGUUCCCUCCCCGAGCCUCCCAGUGUCCCCACCUGCAGAGGGCACGCGGCACCCAGGCUCUGCGGCUGCGUCUUCCUGCUGUGAAGUGCUGCCUCAGUUUAGAGGAACAAGCUUUGAUCUCAAGAAAGGCUUGGAAGCUGAAAGGGUACCGUUUAAAAAAAAAAAAUUAAGCUAUAGUUGAUUUACAAUGUUCCGUCAAUUUCUGCUGUACAGCAAAGUGACCCAGUGUGUGUGUGUGUGUGUGUGUGUUCUUGUUUUCAUAUUAUCUUCCAUUGCGUUCUAUCGCAAGUGAUUGGACACAGUUCCCUGUGCUGUACAGCAGGACCUCACUGCUUAUCCACUCUAAGUGUAACAGUUUGCACCUACUAACCCCAAACUCCCAGUCCAUCCCUCUCUUCCCCCUCAGCAACCACAACUCUGUUCUCCACGUCUGUGAGUCUGUUUCUGUUUUGUGCAUGGGAUCAUUUGUGCCAUUUUUUAGAUCCCACAUGUAAGUGAUACCAUAUGGUAUUUGUCUUUCUCUUUCUGAGUUACUCCACUUAGUAUGAGAGUCUCUAGCUGCAUCCAUGUUGCUGCAAAUGGCAUCAUUUUGGGUUUUUUAUGGCUGAGUAGUGUUCCAUCGUGUGUAUGUACCACGUCCUUAGCCCUUCGUCUGUCAGUGGACAUUUAGGUUGCUUCCACGUCUUACCUAUUGUGAAUCAUGCUGCAAUGAACAUUGGGGUGCAGUAUCUUUUUGAAUUACAGUUUUCUCUGGAUGGAUGCCCAGGAGUGGGAAUGCUGGGUCAAUGGAAGUUCUAUGUUUAGUUUUCUGAGAGAAACUGUUUUCCACAGUGGUUGCACUAACUUACUUUCUGCCAACAGCCUAGAAAGGUUCUGAGAGGGAGUCUUAAACAGAACCCACUUUACAAUGGUCAUGCAGAUCUCUCUUUUUUUAAAAGACAGUUCUGCCCUUUGUCGCUCUUCUGCAUUAAACUUCGGUUAAGGGGAGUUCCUGUCCUGGCUCAGCGGUGGUGAACCUGACUAGUAUCCAUGAAAACGUGGGUGGAUCUCUGGCCUCACUGAGUGGCUUAAGGAUCUGGUGUUGCCACGAGCUGUGAUGUAGGUCACAGAUACGGCUCAGCUCCAGCGUUGCUGUGGCUGUGGCGUAGGCUGGCAGCGGUAGCUCCGAUUAGACCCCUAGCCUGGGAACUUCCAUAUGCCAUGGGCGCGGCCCUAAAAAAAGACAAAAACAAAAAAACUGGUUAUGAAUAAAAAUACUGAAACACAU